GUUUCAAUUCCUCAUAGGCAGGCUAUCGGCGGCUUUCUAGCCUUCUUUUUUUUGCCUUCAUAUGUGAG
rnacentral:sRNA from 1 species